UGGGACAGGUCAGGUGCUGGUGUUUGCUGCGGAGUUGCCGGAUGGCGGUGCGCUCUCCGGCCUGAGGGGUCCGGAGGCGCCGGGCUUCCGCUGUGUGCUUUGCAGUGACGUGUCUGCGCGGUGCAAAGAUGUUUUGAAAGCCCAUUUGACCUUCAAAGGCAAGAGGAGAAUUAUAUGGCAUCCAGGAAUAAGAAACCGCCACUCCGGUUGCCCCAAAUGCUGCCUUAGCGGUCAUCAUAGAAGCCAGAGGAGCAGGGAUUGUGCUGCGCUCUUCCCACUGUGGCCCAGCAGCCGGCAGCGUCGGCCUGGCUCCGGUGCUCCUCAGACAUUCUCCAUCUCAGUUGCCACCCCGGGUCUGUGGAAUCCUAGUCUGCACUUGGACCUGAUGGACAGGAGCAUCCUGUACGUGUUAAAUUGAACUGCACAGAUCCAUACAGUUCUGAAGCGAAGAAAGCUGUAAUGCAGUGUUUACACACCCAGCCAACCACUUUCCCUCGCAUAAAUGCAACAGAUUUAACCUUCUCAGAGCUGAAAGAACUAAGGCGGGGUUCUCAACCCAGGCUGCUGCCUUGAACCUGGCAGCUUUCUUGGUUUCCCUCGCCCCCCCUUACAAAGCUCCUUUGUACAUAAGGAUGAUCAAGGAUCUUUAGAGAGAAUGCUAUUGCAUGGAUCCUGCCCCUUGGACCUCCUGAUUGAAUCGAUCUAGGAUGAUGCAUGGAGUUCAGUAGUUUGUCGGACGCUCCCAGGGUCAUUGCGAUAUGUGGCCAAGGGUGAGAAUCCUGGAACCAAAGGAAACCAGAUCCAUGAACCCUUCUUGAAAAGAGUCCACAUGGAUAGACAUCAGACAACAAAGAAAUGACUCAAACUAAACAGGAGUGAAGGCUUGGCAGGAUAUUCGUGCUCUGCUCAGAUUCCAGAUCACUACGCUGCAGUCAGGACGAUGUCUGCAAGCAGAGUGCCAGGGCCAUCAUGGGGCUCCCUCUAAGGUUUCCCUGCUUCAGGGAUCGAUUGCAGACUUGCGCCGCCCAUGCUCCAACGUCUGUGAGCUCUCGCCUUACGUUCUGUCCAGUUUUACAGGUUUCCUUUUAGCCAUUUCGAAGUAGUAAUGCAUUUGCAAUAUGCAGUACUUUACCCAUAGUCAUCCUGCUACGCAGUGCAUCUCAGAACCUUACCUCUGCUGUCUGGCUGGAACCUGGUGCUCUGUGACCAGCAUCUCCCCACUGCCGCCCAGCCCGAGCCUCUGCUAAGCACCGUUCUAGCCUCUGUUGACUUAUUUCAUGUAGUAUAAUGUCCUCCAGAUUCAUCCGUGCCAUCACAAAUGACAGAAUCCCUUCUUUUUAAAGGCUGAAUAAUAAUACAAUCCCAUCAAGGUGGCAUGUACCAAUGCCAUCUCAUAGUCCAAGUGAUCAAUUUCAGUUCACAAUUGAUCACACUGAUAGGUCUAAGAGUCAAAGGGAUCACACAAACAAGACUAGUGUCUGCUAGUACUGAGUGAUAGAAUCAAAAAGGGAAGCGGGAUACACAGCAGACUCAUAGAAUGGCAGAUGUCCUAAAUAGCACUCUGUCCUCAGAAUCAGCCCUUAAGGCAUUCGGAUAUGGCUGAAGAGUCCAUGAGAGUAUUUUAGGCAUGGAAAGCCAAGACACUCUGGAAAAAAAAAAAAAAAAAAGACCUAAAUGGAAGAUCUCCGCGAGUGAGAUCCCAGUGGAAAGAACGGGGCCAUCAAAGAAGGAGGUACCUUUCUCUGAAGGGAGGAGAGAACUUCCACUUUGACUAUGACCCUGUCAGAAUAAGAUCGAAGUUGGUGAACUCAAAAGGCUUCCAUAGCUUUGGCAACUCAUGACUAGAGCCUAGGGAGAUUACUGACGCCAUAAACAAGAGUGUCAAAUUGUUAAGUCAACAAUAGGAGUCACUGUGUACUUACUCCUCAUGUGGGAUCUGUCCUUAGUGUGUUGUCCAAUGUGAAGUAAUGCUAUAACUAGUACUGAAACAGUAUUUUACACUUUGUGUUUCUGUGUGGGUGCAAACUGAUGUAAUCUUUACUUAAUAUAUACUAAAUCGAUCUUCUGUAUAUAAAGAUAA